rnacentral:pre_miRNA from 1 species
UCUUUACGACGAGUUCCUACGGGAGCCGGCCGGGUCCCGUAAGAAUUCGCCGUCCCCGUCCUUCUCCACGGCGAAUUUGUACGGAAUCCGGCCAGUUCCCGUAGGAAUUCGCCGAAGACA